AUUGAACGCUGGCGGCAGGCUUAACACAUGCAAGUCGAGCGAGCGGCGGACGGGUGAGUAAUGUCUGGGAAACUGCCUGAUGGAGGGGGAUAACUACUGGAAACGGUAGCUAAUACCGCAUACCAUCAGAUGUGCCCAGAUGGGAUUAGCUAGUAGGUGGGGUAAUGGCUAACCUAGGCGACGAGCCCUAGCUGGUCUGAGAGGAUGACCAGCCACACUGGAACUGAGACACGGUCCAGACGCCUACGGGAGGCAGCAGUGGUGAAUAUUGCACAAUGGGCGCAAGCCUGAGGCAGCCAUGCCGCGUGUAUGAAGAAGGCCUUCGGGUUGUAAAGUACUUGCAGCGAGGAGGCGUUACUCGCAGAAGAAGCACCGGCUAACUCCGUGCGAGCAGCCGCGGUAAUAC
rnacentral:rRNA from 1 species